CUACGGGUGGCUGCAGUGGGGAAUAUUGCACAAUGGAGGAAACUCUGAUGCAGCAACGCCGCGUGGAGGAUGACACUUUUCGGAGCGUAAACUCCUUUUAUAUAGGAAGAAGAUGACGGUACUAUAUGAAUAAGCGCCGGCUAACUCCGUGCCAGCAGCCGCGGUAAUAGGGAGGGCGCAAGCGUUACUCGGAAUCACCGGGCGUAAAGAGCGUGUAGGCGGAUUAAAAAGUCAGAAGUGAAAUCCUAUAGCUUAACUAUAGAACUGCUUCUGAAACUCUUAAUCUAGAAUAUGGGAGAGGUAGGUGGAAUUUCUGGUGUAGGGGUAAAAUCCGUAGAGAUCAGAAGGAAUACCGAUUGCGAAGGCGAUCUACUAGAACAUUAUUGACGCUGAGACGCGAAAGCGUGGGGAGCAAACAGGAUUAGAUACCCCCGUAGUC
rnacentral:rRNA from 1 species